GCAGCUACAUACAGAACUUAAUAACAAUAAUAAGAGCAAUUGGACAUUCAAUCUUGCAGUUGUCACUAGAAGCAAAGUUAUCAUCAUCGAAAAAGAAAAGGUUGCGUGCUCUUUCAUCAUACAGAGAUUUGAUACUCAUAUCAGGAUUAUCUACGAUCGAAUUCUUCACACGAAGCCUCCCAAAUUCGGACUGAAACCCCAAUAUCGAAAAUCGCUCUGUAUUUAUAUGGUGAUCGCGGGGGAAACACGGUAACUUGUGUGGUAAUUGCACUUUACCCCGUUUGUAAUUAUCAUUUUGACCCUUUUUGAUUUAUAAACCACAAUCAAUCUCAGUCAAACGACACUGCUUUGUGUUGGUUAUAGUACUCACUAAAUCAAAAGCAAUGUAAUGUGAUGUAUGGCAGUAUUACUAUUACACUUGAGGAUGUAGUCCAGAGUAAUGGAGUUUGUUUUCAUGGUUGUGCAUCACUUUUACGGAGCUUGGGUAAUGCCCACCAGGUGUUUGAAGAAUUGCCUGACCCAAAUGUGGUUUCUUGGAAAAGUAUGAUACUAUGAUAUCUUGCGAUAUAGGAUGUUGUUUUACACAAAUUUUCUCUUAUGGGUCUAUCUGGAACUCUGAAUGGGGCCAAGUUUACUUUUGUUCCUUGGCAGAAGAUGAUAUUUAACGAUUGAACCUUGGUUUCUAAGUUAUGAGUGUAUUGUAUUGUGUUUGGAUGAAAAAAGAUUGGAUACUUGUAUUGUGUUUUGAUGAAAAUAUACUAAUAAUUCGUUAAAAGAUACUAAAUAAUUGAAAGAAUGAUGCAGUUGCCUGGUGCCUGGAGUCAAGGUGUGUGUUUAGUCUUUUUCAUAAUUUUUGCUUUCCCAAUAUCAUGUGAAAUGACUACAAUGAAGAAAUAGAGUGGCAGAUGCUGUGCCUGAUUGACUGCCCAGCUUAUAGCUGUUGGUGGUCUUUAUGGUCAGCUAUGAUGUUGCCUUACUCAUCUGAGUGUCUUCUUGUUCGUACUUUAGAAGUUGCAUUAUUUUCUCUUUGACUUAACAUCUAGCUACUCGAUCAUAGAUCCUAAUUGAAAGUCCAGACUUUGUGACCCCUUGUGAUGAAAAUAUAUCAAUCAGGAUCCUCUGUAAUGGUAACUUGGACUAUCAGAGAAUGUAUGCUUGUAAGGAAAUGAAUUUUAGCCUUCUAAGUCACAGGUAAGACACAAAGACUGAAGAAAUUGUUGCUGUGGAAGAAAAAUAUGAGUCGGAAUGGAAGACAAUGAGAAAGGGGUUCUCUCAAGAUUUUAAACAAGCUGCUACAUGAAAAUAUCAUCAAGUGAUUGUGACACCUCCAAGUCCGCAGCAGAAAGAUGAUACUGGAAUCUAUUAUCGUCUUUGAAUACAUUGACCAUGAUUUGACAAGUCUAGCUCAUUGACCUGGGGUGAUAUUUUCAGUCCUCCAGCUUAAGUGCUACAUGAGACGAUUGCUGAAGGUUUUCACUACUGUCAUGUCCAUCAAGUACUUCAGCGUGAGAUUAAAAUCUCUAUCUUCUUAUAGACAAUGAAGGUAAUCUGAAGCUUGGAAUUUCGUCUUGCCCGUACCUUCUCACCAAAAGAUUAUCACAAUGCAACUCUCACAAAUCGUGUCAUUAUUUGGUUUAGACCUCCAGGGCUGCAGAGUUGCUUCUUGGGGGCUCCAAUUAUGGUCUAACUUUUGAUAUAUGAUCUGGUUUUUAUCUUUUAUGAGCUUCUACGGGGCGGUCAGUGAGGGCAAGAGCAAUUAAAUACAAUUUUCGAGCUGUGUGGAGUUCCAGAUGAGGUCAAACUGGCCUGAAGUUUCAAGCUUCAUAUGUGAAACAGCAUCAACUUCAAGCAAACAACAUGGCUGAGGUUUUGACACCAUGCUUUGGAGUUGUUAGAAAGAAUGCUUACGCUUGAUCCUUCUCAGAGAAUAUGGAUGCUCUUGAUUUUGAUAACUUCUGGACUUACCCAUUACCUUGUGAAGCCAAAAGUCUACCCAAGUAUGAACCCUCACACAAGUUUCAGAGAAUGAAAAAGAAGCAUCAGCAGCUGCAAUGGCAAUAUGAACAGAAUGCUGCACAAUGUCACAAAGGGUAGAAUCCACAUCACAUGACCCUGGAAUUCAACCCUUUCAUCAGCAAUCUGGACAAGCACAUGCUCAAAUGCCACCUUACUGGCCCUUCCAUGGUUCUCAGCCUCCGAUUUAUGCAGCACCCUUCUGGGAUUAAGCCUCCUGAGCCUUCUGCAGGGGCAAGCAGAUAUGCUCAAAAUGGUGCUUCUGCUUCAGGUCAGGGCUCAAACAUGGCGGGUGGAAACCAAAACAAGUGAUGCUUGGAUCAGAGGAUCUUAAUUUGACUUUCCUACUCCCUCAUGUUUCUUUUGCAGAUUUCACUGUUAAAGGAGUAUAUUUGAGCGAAGUAGAAGAAAGGAAGCUAAAUCAGUGAAUCUGCCUGUGCAGAUCAGUCAACUUCGACAUGAAACUGAGAGCAUUUCAGAAUGAAUCAGACAGUGAACUUUAUAUAGUUGGAAACCCUUGGAUGUCUAGUUUCCAGAACUUUUAGCGGUUCAUGCAUAUCGUUUUUCUACAAGAAGUUAUGGCCAAUUUAGUACAGCAAGGUCGGGCUGUCAGAGAAGCUGACACUUUGACGGAAAUCCAUGUUUUGAGGCCCGAAUUCCAUUUAGAAGCCCAACAACGAGUAUUACUCUAUUUACUAAGAAAAGGGAUUUCCCGAGGAUCUAAGUGAUAAAUGACGUAUUUUUAAGGGAUAAUGAUAAAAA